GCCAGCUUAGAUCUACAGCAUAUUUUCACAUGAUUGGGAAGGAAGGUGGGAAAAGUGGCGGAAACAACCUUGUGGGGUUGGUUCUAAACUUUUUUACUCUUUUUCUUUUGUCUUUUGUCUUUUGUUUUUUCACUCUGUGAAUUUCUAAAAUACCAUUAGGUUUUAAAAGACCCAAUGUGUAUAAUUGAGCUGUUCAAUGGUCAAAUGAUUUUAGGACCACUAAUUAAGGAUGAUGCUGAAGUGGAGUGGUGGGGGAGGACUCAAGAGUAAUGGGUUUUUAGCGAACCCAUUGAAGUGUUUAAUUUUAUUUUUUAUUUUUUUUUAUUGUUCUUUUAAUGCCAACUUAGAUUGCCAUCUUUACCCUCUUUCUAAGAGUAAAUUUAGGGGAAGAUGAUUUUAUUUGAAGCUGUUCUCUGCAACUUGGAAUCAGCAGCAACAACAACUCCAUGGAUGGAACAGAAAGAGUGCAAGUUUGUCACUCCGAGAUCUAAAAGGAAAUGGGUCAAAUAGAGUAACAAUGAUGAGCUAUUUCAUACAACAGAAAAUGCAGCAUAAUCCUGUCUAUGAGCUUCAAAAUAAUGCUAAACAUUGUUGGUUGGGGACAAGAAAUCAAUCAAUGAGUGAGCUGAUUUCAAACAGGGAUUUUUUGUGUAUCUAAUUUUGUCCAUUUUCUUGGGCUCUCAGACAGGAUUUGAUUUUGUUUUUUGUUCUCUGCUUCCCGAUCACUCUUUUCAUUUUCUUCCUCUGCCAAAAGAUAAUCAAUUCCGACACAGGAAAAAGCCUAUGUUUUGUUCUCCUUUUGCUAUUCACUCCCUCUAAAUUUGGGGUUCAUGUGGAGCCAAACUGGUUGCUCCAGAGGAAUAUGUUCUACCAUAAGUUGAAAGAUAUGUUCUGCUUUUGAUAUUUCUAA